GCCCAUGGACAUGGACGUUAACAUGAACAUAGUAAAAUGGAAUUUCCAGAUUAUAAACAAUGGAAGAUAGAAGAAACACCAUUAGAAACUAUCCAGGAGAAGCUGGCUGCAGGAGGGCUAAGGGAUCUAUGGGGCUGUAAUGAAGCUUAGAGAAACAUGGGUGACUUUGCAAACAAUGUUUCCUCUGAUGGUGCAUUAUUAAAAGGAUUCAAAGAUUUGCUGCAUUUGUGGUAGCUGUAGGGGUUUAAUAUUACCUGGUGUCCCAGAGUAAAGAUAAGAAGCA
rnacentral:lncRNA from 10 species